rnacentral:misc_RNA from 1 species
GAAAUGCGAUAAGUAAUGUGAAUUGCAGAAUUCAGUGAAACAUCGAAUCUUUGAACGCACAUUGCGCCCGCCAGUAUUCUGGCGGGCAUGCCUGUUCGAGCGUCAUUUCAACCAUCAAGCCCCGCGCUUGUGUUGGGGACCUGCGGCUGCCGCAGGCCCUGAAAACCAGUGGCGGGCUCGCUGUCACACCGGGCGUAGUAGAUUUUAUCUCGCUCAGGGCGUGCUGCGGGUUCCGGCCGUUAAAAAGCCUUUUUUACCCAAGGUUGACCUCGGAUCAGGUAGGAAGACCCGCUGAACUUAAGC